rnacentral:rRNA from 1 species
AAGUCCUACGGGACGCAGCAGUGGGGAAUAUUGGGCAAUGGGCGCAGGCCUGACCCAGCAACGCCGCGUGAAGGAAGAAGGCUUUCGGGUUGUAAACUUCUUUUCUCAGGGACGAGGAAAGUGACGGUACCUGAGGAAUAAGCCACGGCUAACUACGUGCCAGCAGCCGCGGUAAUACGUAGGUGGCAAGCGUUAUCCGGAUUUAUUGGGUGUAAAGGGCGGGUAGGCGGGAGCGCAAGUCAGAUGGGAAAACUCAGGGCUCAACCCUGAGCCUGCAUUUGAAACUGGGGUGCUU